CCUACGGGUGGCUGCAGUGGGGAAUUUUGGACAAUGGGCGCAAGCCUGAUCCAGCCAUGCCGCGUGCAGGAUGAAGGCCUUCGGGUUGUAAACUGCUUUUGUACGGAACGAAAAGGUUUGGCCUAAUACGCUGAACUCAUGACGGUACCGUAAGAAUAAGCACCGGCUAACUACGUGCCAGCAGCCGCGGUAAUACGUAGGGUGCGAGCGUUAAUCGGAAUUACUGGGCGUAAAGCGUGCGCAGGCGGUUAUGUAAGACAGAUGUGAAAUCCCCG
rnacentral:rRNA from 1 species